CGCAAGCCUGACGGAGCAAGACCGCGUGGGGGAGGAAUGCCUUAGGGUUGUAAACCCCUUUUAUCUGGGAAGAAUCAAUGACGGUACCUGAUGAAUCAGCCUCGGCUAACUCCGUGCCAGCAGCCGCGGUAAUACGGAGGAGGCAAGCGUUAUCCGGAAUUAUUGGGCGUAAAGAGUCCGUAGGUGGUGGGGCAAGUCGGCGGUUAAAGACUGGGGCUUAACUCCAGAAAAGCCGUGGAAACUGCACCACUAGAGGGCAGUAGGGGUAGAGGGAAUUCCCGGUGUAGCGGUGAAAUGCGUAGAUAUCGGGAAGAACACCAGUGGCGAAAGCGCUCUACUGGACUGCAACUGACACUGAGGGACGAAAGCUAGGGGAGCG
rnacentral:rRNA from 1 species